GGCAUUUCAAUGUUUCCUUCUCUAGAUAAGAAAACUAAGGCCCUUAGAUAAAAGGUAUGGAUUCCUGUUUGUAAAAAUGUCUCUUUAGUCAAAUAACUUAUUUAAAAUAAGUAAAUGUUGGGACGCCUGGGUGGCUCAGUUGGUUGAGCAGCUGCCUUCGGCUCAGGUCAUGAUCCCAGUGUCCUGGGAUUGAGUCCCACAUCGGGCUCCUUGCCCCGCAGGGAGCCUGCCUCUCCCUCUGACUCUGCCUACCACUCUGCCUGUGCUCUCUCUCUCUCUGACAAAUAAAAUAAGUAAAUGUCUUUUAGAACCAACAAUAAGCGGAUGGAGGUUUCUGGGCUCUCAGGCAGCUGGCCUCCUUCUCCUGGCUACUGAAGUUCCAGAGUUCCCACAUUCUCUCCCUUCUGCCUCUGACAUACUUACUGCCCAUGCCUGAAACGAGGCACGGCUCAGGCAGACCAGUUCGAUUUUCCAGGCUCUUCCGUUAUUUCUCUUUCCUAGCUAUCUUCAAGACCUCUGUGCAGCCUGCUCUCGGGAGACUCUAUCAAAGCCCGUUCUUGGGCCAACUCCAGCUUCUUCAGCCAAGAAUUAACCUGCCAGAUCCUUUCUGAAAACAAAUGUCUUUGCUGAGAACCCUCACUACAGAGACUGGAUAAAUGUCCUGGGUCUUCAUACCAGUGAGAAUUAAUCAUCCUUUCUUCAGCCCCAGCCUGUGCCAAAACUGUUGUCUAUAUCCUCAACAUGUAAUAACGAGUAUUUAAAAUUCUUACUUUGUUUAAACUAAAUUAAAGGGAAACAAUAAAAAUAAAAGCUUACUUACUUAAGAUCUGCCUUUAGGAUGAAAGAUCCAUUUCGUUCCUUUCCAAAUUAUAAAUAUGAAAAUUCC
rnacentral:lncRNA from 1 species